GCCACUGUUCCCCACUCCUAACCCUAUCCGAUCCAGAGGGAGGCACUGAAGCGAUGGGAAGCUCCACCGCCGCCACUCACGCACUCUCUGCCAUCACCGCCGUAGCCAUCCACCAUGGCCAACGGCGGGAACUCCUCGGGCCAAGAAAAAGGUGAAAAAAAAUGAAAUACCAAAUUUGGUACUCAUGCCUGUUUUAUGGAUCAUGGUGCGACUUUUUUUGCGUGUGAAUUAAUGUUUGAUCGCGACUGCUGAGUGUAUCAUGCCGUUAAGUUUUGUUCAGAUGCUCAGUUAUCCAUAGCGUAGCACCGUUUGCAUCGGAGAAUCUUCUUGAUUUUUCCUUUUCUCUUGGGGAACUCGUUGUUAUUGUUCUUGCAAAUUGUUUACUGUCAGUGGAUGCUAAACCUCAA